UUUCAUGAUAAUUUAUCGAACGUUAAAGUAAUAAAAGUUUCAAAAGCUUUAUUUUUUCAUUCAUCCUUUUUUACAAUACAACUUUAAAUUUCAUUCGCUUCCCGCGAUAAUAAGACGCGCGUAUCUCAGUACGCAUGCGAACUAAAACAUAAACACAUUCAAAAAACUUGUCGUGUCUUUAAAAAAAAACAGUCGACGUAAAUAAUAUAAUUAAUUAUUAUUCUUACAUUAUUAAUCUAUUAUAUUCAAAUUAAUAAACUGAUUUGAGUGCUAAUUAAAUCGCUCGUAGCAAGGAUAUUAAGAUGAGAACCUAAAUAGCUACAUUAGUCGCUGUUCUGUUGACAUUCUAACCUAAUUUCAUUUGUCAAAAUAUAUAAAUUGAAUGUAUUCACAAUAAGACCGCAAUGUACACAAAAAAAGUCAGAUGGUGAUCAAUAGAUGUUUUUUCUAAAUGUACGUUAAUUUUUACAUUGAUCAUUAUUAAUUCUAAAUCAUGAAUUUAAUAUGAUUUACUUAAUGAACAAGUUUGAAUCCUAAUUAAAUUGCUAGUAACAAUAUUAUAAUUAAGAUGAGAACCGGAAAAGCAACAGAAGCCACAGUUCUGUCAACGAUCUAACCAAAUUUUAUUCGUGCACUAAAAUAAACUGAACUUAUUCAAAAAAUGACAGGAGUAAGAAUGUGAAAAAAUGUAUCCUUAAUCAAUGGAUAUUUGUUUCAAAUGUACAUCAAUUCGUACGUUGCCCACCAAAUUGACGGAAUUUCUACCUAUGGCGCAAAAAAGAGGGUAAUAACUAAUGAAUUAAGGAAGCUAAAAUUUUAUUGUGAUUUCGAAUCGAAGAAAACGCGUUUGAAUAUUCUCUAAUUGUCGCAGUGAUUUAAAAGUGUUCAUUCAUAGAGCAUGAUCACAUGCAAGUGCAAUUUAAGAAGAGAAAUUUUUCAUUCCUGCGUAAUUGGUUUUAAAUUUAUUCUUUCAAGAUAAAAUAAAUCUCUUUGGAUUUAACGCACGUGUCAAAUAUUAUUCUAGUUAUGAUAACUAUAUUAUUAUCAAGUCAAAUAAAACAUAUCUGGCUGUGUAGACUUAUUACAAUAAUGAAAUUAAAAUUGAGAAGUGACGUCGAUGAAUAAUGAGUCCA